GCAGGGGUAGAGGAAUUGGUCAACUCAUCAGGCUCAUGACCUGAAGACUGCAGGUUCGAAUCCUAUCUGCG
rfam:Triticum aestivum genome assembly, contig: Triticum_aestivum_CS42_TGACv1_scaffold_223973_3B